rnacentral:rRNA from 1 species
GACGAACGCUGGCGGCGCGCUUAACACAUGCAAGUCGAGCGAAGCGGCGGACGCGGGAGUAACACGUGAGUAACCUGCCUUAGACCUUGGGAUAGCCUCGGGAAACCGGGAUUAAUACCAAAUGGUCUAAGAUGGACUGGCGUGCCAUUAGCUAGUUGGUGGGGAACGGCCCACCAAGGCGACGAUGGGGAGCCGGCCUGAGAGGGUGAACGGCCACAUCUGAACUUAGAAACGGUCCAAACUCUACGGGAGGGAGCAGUGGCGAAUAUUGCACAAUGGAGGGAACUCUGAUGGAGCGACGCCGGGUGAACUAAGAAGGCUUUCGAGUAGUAAAGUUAUUUUAUAUGGGAAGCGGUACCAUAAGAAAAAGCACCGGCUAACUACGUGCCAGCAGCCGCGGUAAUAC